AACGAACGCUGGCGGCAGGCUUAAUACAUGCAAGUCGAACGGUUGUAGCAAUACAGCAGUGGCAGACGGGUGAGUAACACGUGGGAACCUACCUAGGGGUACGGAGUAACUCAGGGAAACUUGUGCUAAAUACCGUAUACGACCUUCGGUGAAGAUUAUCGCCCUACGAUGGGCCCGCGUUGGAUUAGCUAGUUGGUGAGGUAAAAGACUCACCAAGGCGACGAUCCAUAGCUGGUCUGAGAGGAUGAUCAGCCACACUGGGACUGAGACACGGCCCAGACUCCUACGGGAGGC
rnacentral:rRNA from 1 species